AACAUGUAUUUAACUAUAUGUAAAUCAAAACUAAAUGUCUGCAUGUGUUUGCAGGCAGACAGGAAACAUGCUCAAAAAAUAAAUAUUAGAAAACUUUAAAAAUACUUAUUCAGGCCUCAGAAAUGUAUGGAUUUUAUUUAUACUUCUACAUAACUUUUAUUAUGACCAUAAAAAUAACACUGUAAUCAAUAACAAUUUAAUUUUACAUUUUAAAAUAACUAAAAGUAUAAAACUGGAUUGUUUGUAAUACAAAGGAUAAAUACUAGAGGUGAUGGAUACCUCAUUUACCCUGAUGUGAUUAUUAUAUACUGUAUUCUUGUAUCAAAAUAUGCCAUAUAUUGCAUGAAUAUAUACUCAUAUUAUGCACCCCAAACAAUUAAGAAAAAUAAAUUUAAAUAAAGUAAACAUUUGGCUGGGCAGGGUGGCUCAUGUCUGUAAUCCCAGAACUUUGGGAAGCCAAGGCGGGCAGAUCUUUGAGGUCAGGAGUUCGAGACCAGCUUGACUUACAUUAUGAAACCCUGUCUCUACUAAAAUACAAAAAUUAGCUGGGCAUGGUGGUGGGUGCCUGUAAUUCCAGCUACUUGGGAGGCUGAGGCAGGAGAAUUGUGUGAACCCAGGAGGUGGAGGUUGCAGUGAGCCGAGAUCAUGCCACUGCACACCAGCCUGGGUGACAGAGCAAGACUCCCUCUCAAAAAAUAAAAUAAAAAAAAACAAAAAUUUAACCUACAGAAAUAAUAUUCUUUAACUUAUUUGCAGUCAAAGCCACUGGCAAAAGAGAUUACUAGAGAUGUUAAUCCAUUAUGUUACCAAAUAGUAUUCUAUUAUCAUGUUUUACGUAAACCCUUGAGUAAGGUGGAAGAGGUUGACAUCUGUGGCACAAUAACACUUCACUGAAUGCACAAUAGUAUUUAACAUGUUAAAAAGUUUGAAUAUAUUAACAUCACAUAUAAUCUGAAAUUUAAAAAAUAUACUGCAUUUUAUAUAAAAUAUUAGUACAAUAUACUAAUUUUAAUUUACUUAUAAAUGAAAUUAAAAAUGUUUUCUCAUAAUGCAGAAGAAUAUUACUCUGAAUGCCUUAUGCACACGUUGCUCAAUAUUAUAAGUUAACCACAAAAGUCUCUUCACUUAGAUUUUCAUCAUACAUCUCAUAUUUUAAUGUCCUUACUUUUUCAUAGCAAAGUUUAUAAAUAAUGCUCACCAAAUAAAAAAGAAUCUCUCAUCUCUUUGAUGCAGCAACAAUUGAUCACAUGCUUUCACAUGUAAAUAGGAGUGAAGAAACAGCAGGAAAUAAUGAGAGUUGAAUUACAUCAUUACUCAGUUUUCAAAAAAUCUAAUUUUUUCAAAGAGUUAAGCAUACUUUGAAUGCAAUAACGCUACAAAAAAACUUCUACUUUUAAAGUUAUAUACAAAUAAUUUUUUUACCAAUUUUAGUUUUAGAUUAUUUUCUAUA
rnacentral:lncRNA from 1 species